rnacentral:rRNA from 2 species
AGUUUCGGGCUGCCUUAUAAUGCAGUCGAACGAACUCUGGUAUUGAUUGGUGCUUGCAUCAUGAUUUACAUUUGAGUGAGUGGCGAACUGGUGAGUAACACGUGGGAAACCUGCCCAGAAGCGGGGGAUAACACCUGGAAACAGAUGCUAAUACCGCAUAACAACUUGGACCGCAUGGUCCGAGUUUGAAAGAUGGCUUCGGCUAUCACUUUUGGAUGGUCCCGCGGCGUAUUAGCUAGAUGGUGGGGUAACGGCUCACCAUGGCAAUGAUACGUAGCCGACCUGAGAGGGUAAUCGGCCACAUUGGGACUGAGACACGGCCCAAACUCCUACGGGAGGCAGCAGUAGGGAAUCUUCCACAAUGGACGAAAGUCUGAUGGAGCAACGCCGCGUGAGUGAAGAAGGGUUUCGGCUCGUAAAACUCUGUUGUUAAAGAAGAACAUAUCUGAGAGUAACUGUUCAGGUAUUGACGGUAUUUAACCAGAAAGCCACGGCUAACUACGUGCCAGCAGCCGCGGUAAUACGUAGGUGGCAAGCGUUGUCCGGAUUUAUUGGGCGUAAAGCGAGCGCAGGCGGUUUUUUAAUCCGAUGUGAAAGCCUUCGGCUCAACCCGAAGAAAUGCAUCCGCAACUU